rnacentral:tRNA from 1 species
GCGUUGGUGGUGUAAUGGUUAGCAUUGUUGCCUUCCAAGCAGUAGAUCCGGGUUCGAUUCCGGCCAACGCA